rnacentral:tRNA from 1 species
GUUGGGGCUGGGGCUCAGUGGUAGAGCACUUGCCUAGCAUGUGUGAGGCACUGGGUUUGAGCCUCAGCACAACG